rnacentral:lncRNA from 1 species
AAAAAUCAAGAAAGGAAAUUUUGUUCUUAGAGUUUGCCUAUUUCUGUUUUCCAAUUCCUAACUUUUGUGCUAAAAUGCCAUGGACAAAAUGAUAGGGCUCAAUUCUUUCUUACACCCUAAAAUCCCAUCAUCUUCAAGAAUCCCUCUUCUCCACAUCCAACCCAACCUCCCUCUCCCUUCUUUUCCUCUCAAAAUCUCCAAGAAAACCCAUCUGAGAUUCCUUCUUUCUGCGCAAACCAACAGCAACAACCCAACUCAAGAACCCAAAGAACCAGCACAAGAAAUGAAUUAUGAGUCUUCCAAUAACAAUGGUGGUGGUGGUGGUGGUUUGAAUAAAGAUCAACCUCCCCCUUUAAUCAAUAUCAAGUGGGGUGAUUUAUUACUGAACCCAAAUCCUGAUAACAUCUUGGCUGUUGGAUUGACUGGUUUGCUUACAUGGGCCAGUGUUCAAGUUCUUUGGCAGCUUUUCUUUAUCUCUUUAGUCAUUCUUGUUGCUGCUCUUAAGUACUCUUUUAUUGCUGCUCUCCUUAUUUUCAUCCUCGUUACUCUUCUUUAAAGGUAUUUUGUUCCUUCUUGGAGACUUUCUUGAUAGAUGUAAUAAUUUCUUGAAUCUUGUGUGGCAUUGUUGGUUCUUUGAGCCCCCGUCUGGGAUCCGAGUGCUGCUCAGGUUUGCAAAAAUUCGGAAAAAAACAGUUACCAAACUCCGAAUUCUAAUUGCUGAACUUCCCUUUCACAAGCUAAAGUAACAUUUCAAUUGAUGGAUAUUGAAUAGAAACGCAGAGUCUAUGUAGGUUACUUGCCGAAAUCUGGGUGUAGAACACCUAGAUGGUCAAAAGCGGGCACGUGUUACAAAGUUUGAAGAAGGAAACAUUAUGAGCUCAUUCCAGUACUGCACUCUCCUCUUGAUGGGCCGCUUCCUCUGGUUAAUUUUGGAGCCGAAUUCGGGCAGAGUAGCUUAGUGUCUUCAUGAAAACCUCCUGUUCGUUAUCAAUAAUUAGCUGCAAAAGAAUGGGAAAGAGAAGCUGAACAAGUAAAAGAAAGGCUCAAGGAGCGGUAAAAUUGUGGUUAUAAUGUUGAGAAAGUCGUCUCCUGAAAAAGCAAUGUUGGUUCUGUAUUGUAAUGGUCAAAUUGUGAAUAAAAAAGUUUAAUCGGUGAUGCUCUCUCCCUCCGGCAUAUACAGUCGUGCACAAUCCUGGGCUCAGGCAAUUUCUAUAUCCAACCAAAAAGAAGCAAGGGAAAUAUAUUUGAAACACGACUGGAUUCACAUAAAAUAAAAGCUCAUAUGCAAUUUCUGCUUGAACAUUGAAUAAUCCUAGUGUCAUCAUGUAGCGUGGAUUGUUAGGGCGAGACUUGUGAACAAACAGCUGUAACAUAUAGAAGCAAAAGGUCAGGUACAGGCUUCCAUGGCUACACUCAGAAGCUUCUCCAUGCAACUCGAUUUGGGAACUUAAUUCACCAUUUGAGAUGACUAUAUAAUCUUGCGAAAAAUAAGCUGAAAAUUACAAGAAAAUCUAAUAAGCAAAAACAAAAGACUUGCAUCACUCAGCAAAACAGAGGUGCUACGAUCAAAACUAAUAUCCCAUCACACAUUAAACCUCACCUUUCAUCUCUCCCUCGUAGAAACCAUGAGGUAUCCUUCCAAACUAUUAAGAUGUUAUCAAUUUCAUGUUCAAACUGUCUUUUAUAUCAAUUUUAUCCUGAGAUUAGUUUGAUUUCUCAAAUAGUAUUUUUACUAAAAU